rnacentral:pre_miRNA from 1 species
AGCCUUCUGUAUCCGUGCUGAGAUUUCGUCAUACACCAAACCACAAGGGCUGAUGAGACUGAAGAGUAUAAAUACU